UAUCUGAAGCCAACGAGGAUGAGAACCUCCGGGGGCAAGAGGUUCGAUUCGAGCGUAGCGAGAAAACGUUGCGUCAGCAACGGUCCGCAAGGGCCCCUGUCACCGGGAGGUUGACGCCCGCACUACCA
rnacentral:sRNA from 2 species